AUGUCUCCAAGCCAGGUGAUCACCGACAAGCAAGCAUCCACCCAUCGUGGAGACACUAGUGAGAGAGUGAACCACCAAAAAGAGAGUGAGCGCCACAAGCCAAAAUGGAGCGACUAUUCGCCACGAGAGAAAAACUUAAUCCUCCUAGCCACAAAAAGAGAGAUGAGAGAAGUGUGUGAGAAUCCAUCGAGUGUCAUCCACUAUGUCCUAGUGUGCAACGAUGAGGUGGAAAAGACUAACAAUCCUAAUCUUCCUCCUCUAGUGUUGUCUAAUUUGUUGCAGGAAUUCGCGAAUGUCUUUCCCGAUGAGCUACCUCCCGGUCUUCCUCCUCUACGU
rnacentral:rRNA from 1 species